rnacentral:rRNA from 1 species
GAUGAACGCUGGCGGCGUGCCUAAUACAUGCAAGUCGAGCGAACGGACGAGAAGCUUGCUUCUCUGAUGUUAGCGGCGGACGGGUGAGUAACACGUGGAUAACCUACCUAUAAGACUGGGAUAACUUCGGGAAACCGGAGCUAAUACCGGAUAAUAUUUUGAACCGCAUGGUUCAAAAGUGAAAGACGGUCUUGCUGUCACUUAUAGAUGGAUCCGCGCUGCAUUAGCUAGUUGGUAAGGUAACGGCUUACCAAGGCAACGAUGCAUAGCCGACCUGAGAGGGUGAUCGGCCACACUGGAACUGAGACACGGUCCAGACUCCUACGGGAGGCAGCAGUAGGGAAUCUUCCGCAAUGGGCGAAAGCCUGACGGAGCAACGCCGCGUGAGUGAUGAAGGUCUUCGGAUCGUAAAACUCUGUUAUUAGGGAAGAACAUAUGUGUAAGUAACUGUGCACAUCUUGACGGUACCUAAUCAGAAAGCCACGGCUAACUACGUGCCAGCAGCCGCGGUAAUACGUAGGUGGCAAGCGUUAUCCGGAAUUAUUGGGCGUAAAGCGCGCGUAGGCGGUUUUUUAAGUCUGAUGUGAAAGCCCACGGCUCAACCGUGGAGGGUCAUUGGAAACUGGAAAACUUGAGUGCAGAAGAGGAAAGUGGAAUUCCAUGUGUAGCGGUGAAAUGCGCAGAGAUAUGGAGGAACACCAGUGGCGAAGGCGACUUUCUGGUCUGUAACUGACGCUGAUGUGCGAAAGCGUGGGGAUCAAACAGGAUUAGAUACCCUGGUAGUCCACGCCGUAAACGAUGAGUGCUAAGUGUUAGGGGGUUUCCGCCCCUUAGUGCUGCAGCUAACGCAUUAAGCACUCCGCCUGGGGAGUACGACCGCAAGGUUGAAACUCAAAGGAAUUGACGGGGACCCGCACAAGCGGUGGAGCAUGUGGUUUAAUUCGAAGCAACGCGAAGAACCUUACCAAAUCUUGACAUCCUUUGACAACUCUAGAGAUAGAGCCUUCCCCUUCGGGGGACAAAGUGACAGGUGGUGCAUGGUUGUCGUCAGCUCGUGUCGUGAGAUGUUGGGUUAAGUCCCGCAACGAGCGCAACCCUUAAGCUUAGUUGCCAUCAUUAAGUUGGGCACUCUAAGUUGACUGCCGGUGACAAACCGGAGGAAGGUGGGGAUGACGUCAAAUCAUCAUGCCCCUUAUGAUUUGGGCCACACACGUGCUACAAUGGACAAUACAAAGGGCAGCGAAACCGUGAGGUCAAGCAAAUCCCAUAAAGUUGUUCUCAGUUCGGAUUGUAGUCUGCAACUCGACUACAUGAAGCUGGAAUCGCUAGUAAUCGUAGAUCAGCAUGCUACGGUGAAUACGUUCCCGGGUCU